GAUGAAGAACGUAGUGAAAUGCGAUAAGUAGUGUGAAUUGCAGAAUUCAGUGAAUCAUCGAAUCUUUGAACGCACAUUGCGCCCGCCAGUAUUCUGGCGGGCAUGCCUGUUCGAGCGUCAUUACAACCCUCAGGCCCCCGGGCCUGGCGUUGGGGAUCGGCGGAGCCCCCCGUGGGCACACGCCGUCCCCCAAAUGCAGUGGCGGUCCCGCCGCAGCUUCCAUCGCGUAGUAGCUAACACCUCGCGACUGGAGAGCGGCGCGGCCACGCCGUAAAACACCCAACUCUUCUGAAGUUGACCUCGAAUCAGGUAGGAAUACCCGCUGAACUUAAGCAUAUCAAUAAGCGGAGGA
rnacentral:misc_RNA from 1 species